AUUGAGCGCUGGCGGAAUGCUUUACACAUGCAAGUCGAACGGUAGAGGGGGCAACCCCUCGAGAGUGGCGAACGGGUGAGUAAUAUAUCGGAACGUGCCCAGUCGUGGGGGAUAACGUAGCGAAAGUUACGCUAAUACCGCAUACGAUCUAAGGAUGAAAGCGGGGGAUCGCAAGACCUCGCGCGAUUGGAGCGGCCGAUAUCAGAUUAGGUAGUUGGUGGGGUAAAGGCUCACCAAGCCAACGAUCUGUAGCUGGUCUGAGAGGACGACCAGCCACACUGGGACUGAGACACGGUCCAGACUCCUACGGGAGGCAGCAGUGGGGAAUUUUGGACAAUGGACGCAAGUCUGAUCCAGCCAUUCCGCGUGCAGGAUGAAGGCCCUCGGGUUGUAAACUGCUUUUGUACGGAACGAAAAGGUCUCUCUUAAUACGGGGGACUCAUGACGGUACCGUAAGAAUAAGCACCGGCUAACUACGUGCCAGCCGCCGCCGUAA
rnacentral:rRNA from 1 species